rnacentral:misc_RNA from 1 species
UAAAACCAAAAAAAAAAAAAAAAAUCAAACCUAACCUGUUGUCGACUGCUUUACUUGCUCUUCUUCCUCAAAUCCAAAACAAAAUUUCCUAAUUCUUUAACUCCAAUGAAUCCGAAAUUAGUAGUGAUGGCGUUUUCAUUUUUUCUGCUACUCUCUCUCUGCUACUCCGCCGAGUUCAGAUGCAACAGCGGCUGCAAUUUGUAUUGGGCAUGGUGCUUCAUCCUGCAAGGAACCAACCCAAGCUUCAUAGCCGAUGUUGAGAACACCUCAGAGUCGCUCGACGCAAUUCACCGUUUCAUUAGAGAUCAAUUCCCAAACAACGACGGUUACCACGGAUUCGCCAUAAGCAGAAGCCCCUUCCCCUGUAAUUGCAGCAGCGAUGGAUUCGUCGGCUACGUUUUACAAUACAGCGUGCUAUCCAACGACACCUACGACGUCAUCGCCGAGGAGUACUACUCAAACCUGACCACGGUUUUCUGGUUAGAGCGGUUCAAUAGCUAUACGGCUGCGGAUAGUAAUCUUAUAACUCCUGCGAUUAAUGUUACUGUGAAUUGCUCGUGUGGGGACAGGGUCAUUUCCAAGGAUUAUGGGUUGUUCAUCACGUAUCCUCUUAGGCCCGAGGAUAAUUUGGUGUCAAUUGCAAGUCGGUUCAAUGUUACUGCUGAGGAGCUGCAGAGAUAUAACGUUGGUGCCAAUUUUAGUGGAGGAAGUAGUUUGCUGUAUAUUCCAGGCAGAGCGUCUGAUAUUGUGCUUGGGGGAAUUCUUAACAAACUCAGGCGAUCGCGGUUCCAAGACGAAAAUAAUAGCUACCGGCCCUUAAAAUCAAGAACUUCAAUGCCCAGACUUAUUGCUGGUAUAUCCGUAGCAGCAGCAGUUGUUGUAUUAGCAAUUUGUGUAUACUUUGGAUUUUACCGAAGGAAGAAAGUGAAGAAAGAGAUAAUGUUGCUGACUUCAACAUCUCAAGAUCUCUCUGCUCAACCUGUGCACGAAAGCAGCAAUCAAGAAGAUGGACAGGAAAACUUCAAAAGAAUUUCUAACUGAACUAAAGAUUUUAACACAUGUUCAUCACGAAAAUGUGGUACACUCUUUCUCUAUCAGCUAUAGAAAUAUCAUUCAUGAGUACAUGGAUGAGUUAUUGCCGUAAUUUUUUCUUCACUUAAACAAGUGCAUCAUCAACAUUUUAUUUUAGCUUAUUUUUUCAGAAUAAAUAAUUGUUACCAUUACUUGGAAAGUUCAUAAUUACUUGUUAUGUCAAUCUUAUAAAUGCAGUAGAAUAUAUGUUUCAUUUUGCUAAGUAAAAUAAAAUAAUUAAAGUGGUCCAAGUUUGAGAUUCCAGUCUCUAUUGACCUUGGCAAAAUUAUGUCAUUGGCUUGCAUGACCAAGGAGUGGGAACAAUCUAAAUUCACCUGCUUGGCAAUUUCGAUAGAGUAUUACGCCUCAUAUCUUCUUUACAUCAGUUUUGAUAUGAGAAGUUGAAUGCACCACUUACUCAAACCUAUACAUGUUCUUUGCUUUUGGUGGCAGAAUCUAAAACAAUUUAUGUAUUUGUUUGUGACGACUGCAGGGAUCAGUUCACGAGAUGUUGACGUCAAACAAAAAUAGAAAUAUUUACAAUUUGAGGCACCACUGAAUUUUCAUUUUUUGGUUAUAAAAUGUUUAUUCCCUAGGAAUAAGCAACUUUUUGGGAAGUCAUUUCCAUGGAAAUUGUAUAUUAAAGAAUUUCAUUCACACAUUUCUGUUUUCUCCUCAACAAUUAUUUUCAUGUUUAGUUCACUCACUAAUUUCUUAGGAAAUAUGAUGUACCAUUAACUUAUCAACAUAAAUUUAUUUUAGGAAAGUAUUUUAUGAAAUGUCUUCCUAGCUACUUCCGAGGGAAGUGCAACUUACUGACCCCCUCCGCUUGUAAGUUGGUUCCUAGAUUCAAGGGAGUUGAGUGGUGACUUUACACUUUCAUAGCAACUAAACAUGAUGUAGGCGCCUUCUAGUACGCUGCACUUACUGUGAAACAAAUGAGCUGUAGAAACAUACUUCCUGUUGUAUCCAGAAAAUAUCAUGAACCUUUAGAAGAUCAAAGCUCUGCCAUAUACUUUGUAUUUAUUACCAGAAGGUAUGUUGACAGUGAUUCAUGACCUCUAAUAUUUUUCAUUAUUAGAGGUCACAAACCUGCUAGUAAGAUUUGAAGUCAGUUGCCUAUUUCUUUAUGGUUGUGAGUUGUGACAAUAGCUCAUAGCUGUACAAGUUGAUGCGCGCAAUAGUUCUGUGUAAUUCUGUGGAGUCCAAUUGUGUGGAUGAUUUUGUACGAUUUUGGGGUUUUUUCUUUGCCUUCUUUUUACCAUAUGACACUAUCUAUGUUUAUUGCAGGUCCAAUUGAUUGGAUAUUGUGUAAACUCUCUUGGUUCUUCUCUUUUUCUAGUUUACGAAUACAUGGAGAACGGCAACUUAAGCCAACAUUUGCAU